rnacentral:tRNA from 1 species
GGACGCGUAGCUCAGUCUGGUUAGAGCGCUACCUUGACACGGUAGAGGUCGUUGGUUCGACUCCAAUCGCGUCCACCA